rnacentral:rRNA from 1 species
UACGGAGGGGGCUAGCGUUGUUCGGAAUUACUGGGCGUAAAGCGCACGUAGGCGGAUUUGUAAGUUAGGGGUGAAAUCCCGGGGCUCAACCUCGGAACUGCCUUUGAUACUGCAAGUCUCGAGUCCGGAAGAGGUGAGUGGAAUUCCUAGUGUAGAGGUGAAAUUCGUAGAUAUUAGGAAGAACACCAGUGGCGAAGGCGGCUCACUGGUCCGGUACUGACGCUGAGGUGCGAAAGCGUGGGGAGCAAACAGG